UAUGGGGGGAAAAAAUACAACAGUCCCAGCCUGUUUCAGUCUGUGUGCUCAUUUUGCAGCAGCUCUCUACGGAGGCGUCCAUAAACAUGAAAUGGGAGCUUAGUGCACUGGCAGCAUUGAAUCACAUUGACUCUGGAACCCAUGGAAGCGGUUGACAAGAACAUACAAGCGGCGAGAAAAUGCAGAUAAAUUUGACAGGAGAGCGCAUCGGCGCCGGGCGCUCUGAUCAGGCAUUUUCAUUGAUGAAUUGGAUCACUGCGAUGCUCUCAAGAAGCCUCAGGAGCAACAGAAAAACACACAUGAUCUUUGAGCACCAUAUGACACUAUUGAACAACCUCGGUAUGUACAAAGCAUUAAAAGUUGCACAUGUUGGAAACCAACACACAUUUUCAGGACAAAAUAUGCCUUGGGAGUGCCUUCAGAACAUGACAUGACAGAUAGCAAUCACACAUCACACAUUGCUCAAUUUGAUUUUCAAAAUAUGUCGAUGGACAAGGUCUUUUUUCGAGGAUGUUUCAAAAUAAAAAGUUAACGUGUAUGUAAAAUAGUUCUCAUGUUACACGGACUAUGAAUUGCACUUGUCAUAGU